GACGAACGCUGGCGGCGUGCCUAAUACAUGCAAGUCGAGCGCAGGAAAUCGACGGAACCCUUCGGGGGGAAGUCGACGGAAUGAGCGGCGGACGGGUGAGUAACACGUAAAGAACCUGCCCUCAGGUCUGGGAUAACCACGAGAAAUCGGGGCUAACACCGGAUGGGUCAUCGGACCGCAUGGUCCGAGGAUGAAAGGCGCUCCGGCGCCGCCCGGGGAUGGCUUUGCGGUGCAUUAGCUAGUUGGUGGGGUAAUGGCCCACCAAGGCGACGAUGCAUAGCCGACCUGAGAGGGUGAUCGGCCACACUGGGACUGAGACACGGCCCAGACUCCUACGGGAGGCAGCAGUAGGGAAUCUUCCACAAUGGACGAAAGUCUGAUGGAGCAACGCCGCGUGAACGAUGAAGGCCUUCGGGUCGUAAAGUUCUGUUGUAAGGGAAGAACAAGUGCCGCAGGCAAUGGCGGCACCUUGACGGUACCUUGCGAGAAAGCCACGGCUAACUACGUGCCAGCCGCCGCCGUAAUAC
rnacentral:rRNA from 1 species